rnacentral:rRNA from 1 species
CUGCAUGGCUGUCGUCAGCUCGUGUCGUGAGGUGUUCGGUUAAGUCCGGCAAGGAGCGCAACCCAUGUCUUUAGUCGCCAGCAUUCAGUUGGGCACUCUAAAGAAACUGCCGAUGAUAAGUCGGAGGAAGGUGUGGAUGACGUCAAGUCCUCAUGGCCCUUACGGGUUGGGCUACACACGUGCUACAAUGGUGGUGACAGUGGGUUAAUCCCCAAAAGCCAUCUCAGUUCGGAUUGGGGUCUGCAACUCGACCCCAUGAAGUUGGAAUCGCUAGUAAUCGCGGAACAGCAUGCCGCGGUGAAUACGUU